UAUUAAAAUUUUUAUAUAUUUCUACCGUUAAAAAUUAGCUUAACUGACAAAAUAAUUAAAUAGUCACACCUAACAUACUACAUGUAACUCAUGCUGACAUGUAAGGAUCGGGUUUUAAUAGUAAAACUAGAUGACAUUUUAACA
rnacentral:pre_miRNA from 1 species